UACUAAGGGCGCACGGUGGAUGCCUUGGCAGAAACAGGCGAUGAAGGACGUGGCAAGCUGCGAUAAGCUUCGGGAAGCCGCACACAGGCGUUGAUCCGGAGAUUUCCGAAUGGGGAAACCCACCAUGGUGAUCCCAUGGUAUGUCCUACUGAAUACAUAGGUAGGAACAGGCGAACGGAGGGAAGUGAACCAUCUCAGUACCUCCAGGAGUAGAAAGAAACCUCGAUUCCGAGAGUAGUGGCGAGCGAAAUCGGACAUAGCCCAAACCCGUGAUAUUUCGGUAUCUCGGGGGUUGUAGGGCCUGCACUAGUAGAGUUACCAAUCCAGUCGAUAGCUGAAGACCGUUGGAAAGCGGUCCCAAAGAGCGUGACAGGCGCGUAGGCGAAAUUGAUCUGGACUCGAAGCAGGUACCUGAGUAAGGCGGGGCACGAGAAACCCUGCUUGAAUCCACGGGGACCAUCCCGUAAGGCUAAAUACUCGUUUCUGACCGAUAGUGAACCAGUACCGUGAGGGAAAGGCGAAAAGAACCCCUGUGAGGGGAGUGAAAUAGAUCCUGAAACCGUAUGCGUACAAGCAGUCGGAGCGGACUUGUUCCGUGACGGCGUACCUUUUGUAUAAUGGGUCAGCGACUUAUGUUCAGUGGCGAGGUUAACCGUUUAGGGGAGCCGUAGGGAAACCGAGUCUGAAUAGGGCGAUUUAGUCGCUGGGCAUAGACCCGAAACCGGGCGAUCUAUCCAUGAGCAGGUUGAAGGUUGAGUAACAUCAACUGGAGGACCGAACCCACUGUCUUUGAAAAGCCAGGGGAUGACUUGUGGAUCGGAGUGAAAGGCUAAUCAAGCCCGGAGAUAGCUGGUUCUCCCCGAAAGCUAUUUAGGUAGCGCCUCGUAUAUCACCACCGGGGGUAGAGCACUGUUUCGGCUAGGGGCCCAUCCCGGGUUACCAAACCGAUGCAAACUCCGAAUACCGGUGAGUGCAGUACGGGAGACACACGGCGGGUGCUAACGUCCGUCGUGGAGAGGGAAACAACCCAGACCGCCAGCUAAGGUCCCCAAAUUCCAGUUAAGUGGGAAACGAUGUGGGAAGGCUUAGACAGCUAGGAGGUUGGCUUAGAAGCAGCCACCCUUUAAAGAAAGCGUAAUAGCUCACUAGUCGAGU
rnacentral:rRNA from 1 species